rnacentral:lncRNA from 1 species
AUCACUUUAAGAUAUCAUAUGGAGCAUAAGAACCGCCUUGGGCUUGCAUCUAGUCCUUAAGUUUGUUUUAUUAUAUAGCAAGUAUAUUAGUAAUGACAUAAGCAAUGUUAUUAUUAUUAAUAUUACUUAAUGACCGGACAUAAGCAAUGUGGAUUGACUUUUUUAUGAUACGCUGUACUAAUAAAGGAAAGCUUCAAUAAAUUUCUUUACUAGCUUUAAUUCAUUGAGCGGUUUUCUAAUUCCCAAGACACCAGAGUCCGUUUUAUAGUUUCGUAAUUCCCUGAUUCCCGUUUAUCCUGUCGAAUUUCUGUUUCUUUUUUUCUGUUCUUUUCCCCCCGUACAUAUGAUUAAUAUUACGUAUUAAUAAUAAUUCAUAAUUGCUCGAUUCCCCCCCCCCCCGUUACUCGUUCCUCCAUUCCCC